rnacentral:rRNA from 1 species
UACGUAGGGUGCAAGCGUUGUCGGGAAUUAUUGGGCGUAAAGAGCUCGUAGGCGGUUUGUUGCGUCGGCUGUGAAAUCCCGAGGCUCAACCUCGGGUCUGCAGUCGAUACGAGCAAACUAGAGUGUUGCAGGGGAGACUGGAAUUCCUGGUGUAGCGGUGAAAUGCGCAGAUAUCAGGAGGAACACCGGUGGCGAAGGCGGGUCUCUGGGCCGAUACUGACGCUGAGGAGCGAAAGCAUGGGUAGCGAACAGG